ACGAACGCUGGCGGCGUGCCUAAUCCAUGCAAGUUGAGCGCUGAAGGUUGGUACUUGUACCAACUGGAUGAGCAGCGAACGGGUGAGUAACGCGUGGGGAAUCUGCCUUUGAGCGGGGGACAACAUUUGGAAACGAAUGCUAAUACCGCAUAAAAACUUUAAACACAAGUUUUCAGUUUGAAAGAUGCAAUUGCAUCACUCAAAGAUGAUCCCGCGUUGUAUUAGCUAGUUGGUGAGGUAAAGGCUAACCAAGGCGAUGAUACAUAUCCGACCUGAGAGGGUGAUCGGCCAAAAUGGGAAUGAGACACGGCACAAAAUACUAGGGGAGGCAGCAGGAGGGAAUCUUCGGCAAUGGACGAAAGUCGGAACGAGCAAAGCCGCGUGAGUGAAGAAGGUUGUCGGAUCGUAAAACUCUGUUGGUAGAGAAGAAAGUUGGUGAGAGUGGAAAGCUCAUAAAGUGACGGUAACUAAACAGAAAGGGACGGCUAACUACGUG
rnacentral:rRNA from 1 species